AAAUUGAAGAGUUUGAUCAUGGCUCAGAUUGAACGCUGGCGGCAGGCCUAACACAUGCAAGUCGAGCGGAAACGGCAGYAUUGAAGCUUCGGUGGAUUURCUGGACGUCGAGCGGCGGACGGGUGAGUAACGGCUGGGAACCUGCCCUGACGAGGGGGAUAACCGUUGGAAACGACGGCUAAUACCGCAUAAUGUCUACGGACCAAAGGUGGCCUCUACAUGUAAGCUAUCGCGUUGGGAUGGGCCCAGUUAGGAUUAGCUAGUUGGUAAGGUAAUGGCUUACCAAGGCGACGAUCCU
rnacentral:rRNA from 1 species